GUUAGGAAUCUUGCGCAAUGGGCGAAAGCCUGACGCAGCAACGCCGCGUGGGGGACGAAGGCUCUCGGGUUGUAAACCCCUUUCAGUGGGGACGAAUCAAGACGGUACCCACAGAAGAAGCCCCGGCCAACUACGUGCCAGCAGCCGCGGUAACACGUAGGGGGCAAGCGUUGUCCGGAUUUAUUGGGCGUAAAGAGCUCGUAGGCGGUUCGGUAAGUCGGGUGUGAAACCUCCAGGCUCAACCUGGAGACGCCACCUGAUACUGCUGUGACUCGAGUCCGGUAGGGGAGCGUGGAAUUCCUGGUGUAGCGGUGAAAUGCGCAGAUAUCAGGAGGAACACCAGCGGCGAAGGCGGCGCUCUGGGCCGGAACUGACGCUGAGGAGCGAAAGCGUGGGUAGCAAACAGGAUUAGAAACCCCAGUAGUCC
rnacentral:rRNA from 1 species